CUGAUGAGUUUAUAUUUACCAUUUCUGAUCAAAAGAGAGAAUAAAGUAGUAUUUCUCAUGGUGUUUGUAUGAUUUAGGCUCUUUAUAAACAAAGUGGUUUAAUUUUAUGAAUGCUUAAGGUGAUAUUUUUGACACAACUAUAUAAUAUAAAUAAAUGUGCACUUGAAUUUAUAAAUGUACAAGUUGAUUUUUAGUAAUUGCCUCUUUUCAUUAAAGUCUCUGACAGAUAAGGCAGUUAAAGAAGAUGUUAUAUAAGCCUUAAAUAAGCACCAUCUAACUUCAAGUCUCAAAAAAUAUCCAGCUAUUUGGUGAAAAUGAUGAAUUCUGGGGUACUGAUUCAUGUGAUCUGAAAAAGCCAUCCAUUUCCUGAUUCACCUUCACAUCUCCUCCAGGAAAAAAAUUAAUAUUUUGCAAUGAAUACCUGCAGUCAAAACAUUUUUAUGUGUUUGUUUUUCUGUCUUUCAGCCACUACCCUGAACUCAUACUUUCAAAAUGAAGAGGAAGGUCCGUACUCAUUAAUAUUGGAUUCCUGUGUUACUACAUCACCCAGCAGUACAAGUGAGAUUUGGGUAAAGAGUACAUAUAUAUGACCUUAUCACUGCUAAAUGGUCUAAAGCACAGGAUAUAGCACUUAUCUGGACUUCAGGCUUUUGUGCUGGCCUUUUUGGGACUGUGUGGGUAGAGACAAAACUUGGCAUAACUCCUGACUUCAUGGAACCGGACCAUUACAAUUUUUAGAAGAAAUCUUAACCAGCUCUGCAGCCCUCAUACUUGGGUAACGUUUCUGUGACACUGGUCUAGCAUUAGGAGCCCUAAAUCACAUUUACCCUGUGAAAGCGUGCUGAGCAGGCAGCAAGUGCCAGGCACCAAGGCGCACAGCAUGGGAAAUGAUGGUGGAGUUGUCAGUGCACAAGAAUUUCAUAAUAAAUUCUCCAAGUAAGCCAGGCCCUAAGUCACUUCUAAAAAGUGAUUUAGCUAAAUUAGAGCAAGCUCCUGGGUGAACAUUUAUGGUUUGCUUUGAGCAUAUCUUAAAUCCACUAAAAAAUGAAGAAAAAAAAAAAAAAAAAGACUAAUUAGAAAAAGUUUUCCCUAUAAUGAGUCUCACUGACUGUCUUUAAUGAGACUUCAUUUACCUUUUUUAUUUAAACGCAGACAGCAUAUUUGUGUGACCAAAAUCUCAUUCAACCUCUGCCCUUUCACUCUCUCAGACUCACGGUGAACACAAAAAGCUAGAAGUACUUGUCUAGAGGGUUUAUGUAGGAGGUAAGACAGUCAGGAACUUAACAAGAUGCAUGGCAUAUUAUAAUAGAUUGUUUUUUCCAGCCAUACAUUCCCUAUCAGCUCAGAUCAUUUAGUAGCACCAGUAAAAGUUUCAAGUCCAAUUCAAGUCAUACUUUCCUCAGUUGCUCCCAAACUGUGUUCAGCUGCCUGUUAGGAAAAAAACUAGAUGGUGUUAUUUACAACCAGUCUUUUUAGUCUAGAAUUGUUAAAACCCAAAAUGCUUGACAACUUGAAAGUGGCUACAGAAGUAGUAUUAGACAAAGAUGAAAGAG